rnacentral:rRNA from 1 species
AUGAUCCGGUGCUUGCACCGGGGAUUAGUGGCGAACGGGUGAGUAACACGUGAGUAACCUGCCCUUAACUCUGGGAUAAGCCUGGGAAACUGGGUCUAAUACCGGAUAUGACUCCUCAUCGCAUGGUGGGGGGUGGAAAGCUUUAUUGUGGUUUUGGAUGGACUCGCGGCCUAUCAGCUUGUUGGUGAGGUAAUGGCUCACCAAGGCGACGACGGGUAGCCGGCCUGAGAGGGUGACCGGCCACACUGGGACUGAGACACGGCCCAGACUCCUACGGGAGGCAGCAGUGGGGAAUAUUGCACAAUGGGCGCAAGCCUGAUGCAGCGACGCCGCGUGAGGGAUGACGGCCUUCGGGUUGUAAACCUCUUUCAGUAGGGAAGAAGCGAAAGUGACGGUACCUGCAGAAGAAGCGCCGGCUAACUACGUGCCAGCAGCCGCGGUAAUACGUAGGGCGCAAGCGUUAUCCGGAAUUAUUGGGCGUAAAGAGCUCGUAGGCGGUUUGUCGCGUCUGCCGUGAAAGUCCGGGGCUCAACUCCGGAUCUGCGGUGGGUACGGGCAGACUAGAGUGAUGUAGGGGAGACUGGAAUUCCUGGUGUAGCGGUGAAAUGCGCAGAUAUCAGGAGGAACACCGAU